rnacentral:rRNA from 1 species
AUUGAACGCUGGCGGCAGGCCUAACACAUGCAAGUCGAACGAGUGGCGGACGGGUGAGUAAUGUCUGGGAAACUGCCUGAUGGAGGGGGAUAACUACUGGAAACGGUAGCUAAUACCGCAUACCAUCGGAUGUGCCCAGAUGGGAUUAGCUAGUAGGUGGGGUAAAGGGUGACCUAGGCGACGAUCCCUAGCUGGUCUGAGCGGAUGACCAGCCAGACGGGGACUGAGACACGGUCCAGACGCCUACGUGAGGCAGCAGUGGGGAAUAUUGCACAAGGGGCGCAAGCCUGAUGCAGCCAUGCCGCGUGUAUGAAGAAGGCCGUCGGGUUGUAAAGUACUUUCAGCGAGGAGGCGUUACCCGCAGAAGAGGCACCGGCUAACUCCGUGCCAGACGCCGCGGUAAUAC